rnacentral:misc_RNA from 1 species
CCGAAUCGUCAACAAGAGUUGUUGCUGGCCUCUGUACAGGGGCAUGUGCACGCUCUGUUUACACAUCCACUCACACCUGUGCACCCUCUGUAGUUCUAUGGCCUGGGGGGCCCUGCCCUCCUGCUGUGGUCCUANGUCUUUACACACACCGAAAUAAAGUCUCAUGGAAUGUAUGUCGCGUUUAACGCAAUGAAAUAC